GACGAACGCUGGCGGCGUGCCUAACACAUGCAAGUCGAGCGAAUGAAGUUCCUUCGGGAACGGAUUUAGCGGCGGACGGGUGAGUAACACGUGGGCAACCUGCCUCAUAGAGGGGAAUAGCCUUCCGAAAGGAAGAUUAAUACCGCAUAAGAUUGUAGCUUCGCAUGAAGCAGCAAUUAAAGGAGCAAUCCGCUAUGAGAUGGGCCCGCGGCGCAUUAGCUAGUUGGUGAGGUAACGGCUCACCAAGGCGACGAUGCGUAGCCGACCUGAGAGGGUGAUCGGCCACAUUGGGACUGAGACACGGCCCAGACUCCUACGGGAGGCAGCAGUGGGGAAUAUUGCACAAUGGGGGAAACCCUGAUGCAGCAACGCCGCGUGAGUGAUGACGGUCUUCGGAUUGUAAAGCUCUGUCUUCAGGGACGAUAAUGACGGUACCUGAGGAGGAAGCCACGGCUAACUACGUGCCAGCCGCCGCAGUAAUAC
rnacentral:rRNA from 1 species